rnacentral:misc_RNA from 1 species
UAACCUCUCAAAACUAAUCGUUUUUUCUGGCAUUUCCAUGCUGUGAAAAGCCGAUUUAGCUUUGGAUUUGGGCGCAUCCGCUCAGUCAUUUUUUGAUUGAGCAGUCGCCUGAAAUGCAUUGGACCAUUCAGCUUUCAUUUAAGUCUGGGCUAAAGUGUGAUAAGGUUCUUUAUGAUCCAUUCUCGCCGAAGCCAAGCAGAAGGAUUGAAUAGGCCCUUAAAACCCAACUCCUCAGAGACUUCCUAUAGGUCUCUGUGAA